GGGGAAUAUUGCACAAUGGGGGAAACCCUGAUGCAGCGACGCCGCGUGAAGGAUGAAGUAUUUCGGUAUGUAAACUUCUAUCAGCAGGGAAGAAAAUGACGGUACCUGACUAAAAAGCCCCGGCUAACUACGUGCCAGCAGCCGCGGUAAUACGUAGGGGGCAAGCGUUAUCCGGAUUUACUGGGUGUAAAGGGAGCGUAGACGGUUAUGUAAGUCUGAUGUGAAAACCCGGGGCUCAACCCCGGGACUGCAUUGGAAACUAUGUAACUAGAGUGUCGGAGAGGUAAGUGGAAUUCCUAGUGUAGCGGUGAAAUGCGUAGAUAUUAGGAGGAACACCAGUGGCGAAGGCAGCCUCCUGGGAUAACACUGACGUUCAUGCUCGAAAGCGUGGGUAGCAAAC
rnacentral:rRNA from 1 species